rnacentral:snRNA from 1 species
GCGCACUUCGGCAGCACAUAUACUAAAAUUGGAACGACACAGAGAAGAUUAGCAUGGCCCCUGCACAAGGAUGACACGCAAAUUCAUGAAGCAUUCCAUAUUAAA